rnacentral:rRNA from 1 species
AUUGAACGCUGGCGGCAGGCCUAACACAUGCAAGUCGAACGAGUGGCGGACGGGUGAGUAAUGUCUGGGAAACUUCCUGAUGGAGGGGGGUAACUACUGGAAACGGUAGCUAAUACCGCAUACCAUCAGAUGUGCCCAGAUGGUAUUAGCUAGUUGGUGGGGUAACGGCUCACCAAGGCGACGAUCCCUAGCUGGACUGAGAGGAUGACCAGCCACCAUGGAACUGAGACGCGGCCCAGACUCCUACGGGAGGCAGCAGUGGGGAAUAUUGCACAAUGGGGGCAAGCCUGAUGCAGCCAUGCCGCGUGUAUGAAGAAGGACUUCGGGUUGUAAAGUACUUUCGGCGGGGAGGCGUUACCCGCAGAAGAAGCACCGGCUAACUCCGUGCCAGCAGCCGCGGUAAUUC